rnacentral:tRNA from 1 species
GCGUGGCUCAGUGGUUAGGGCAAUCGGCUCACGAUCGUAAGGUUGCGAGUUCAAUUCCCGCCGC